rnacentral:rRNA from 1 species
UGGGGAAUAUUGCACAAUGGGCGCAAGCCUGAUGCAGCCAUGCCGCGUGUAUGAAGAAGGCCUUCGGGUUGUAAAGCUCUUUCAGCGGGGAGGAAGGCGUUAAGGUUAAUAACCUUGGCGAUUGACGUUACCCGCAGAAGAAGCACCGGCUAACUCCGUGCCAGCAGCCGCGGUAAUACGGAGGGUGCAAGCGUUAAUCGGAAUUACUGGGCGUAAAGCGCACGCAAGCGGUCUGUCAAGUCGGAUGUGAAAUCCCCGGGCUCAACCUGGGAACUGCAGCUGAUACUGGCAAGCUUGAGUCUCGUAGAGGGGGGUAGAAUUCCAGGUGUAGCGGUGAAAUGCGUAGAGAUCUGGAGGAAUACCGGUGGCGAAGGCGGCCCCCUGGACGAAGACUGACGCUCAGGUGCGAAAGCGUGGGGAGCAAACAGG